rnacentral:lncRNA from 1 species
AUAUACUUGGUGCAGGAAAGGGGAUGUCCUUAGCCAAGGCGCUGGAAAACUGAAGGAAAACAGAUGAAACUGCAGAUCUAUCAACAAAAACGUAAGCACGUGACACUUGACUUGGCAGGUCUGUGAGAAGGUCAGCUUCCCCGUGUUUGUAUUUCAGCCAUCAUCCUCCAUACUGGAGAGGCUUUAUCCGCUUGGCUUGCUUAAUUGCAGCACGUUUGACACGCAUGGAUAACCUGUGCAAUAGCGUCCUUGAUCCAGACCCCAUUUCCAUAUUGUAUCUUUUCCCCAAUGGCCUGAGGUGUCAUGGGUGCACCGAGCUGGAAAUAAUUCCCUCCUGGGGCUGUUGAAGCCCUAGAAAUGUUUGCCAAGUGAAGCUGUGGAUGCUCCAUCCCUGGAGGUGUUCAAGGCCAGGCUGGGUGGGGCUCUGGGCAGCAUGACCCCGUGGGUGGCAUCCCUGCCCACGGCAGUGAGGUUGGGGUUCUAAGCUCUUUGCUGUCCCUUCCACCCCAAGCCGCUCUAUGAUUCUGCGUUUCUAUGACGUAAGCACCGGCCCCACGCAGCCCUGGUGCAGCACAUCACAAGAGCAGCAGCCCGCGGGGAGCCGCCACCCGGAAUCUCGGAGCCGUGAGGUCACAAUGCCCCGUCCAAUGGCUGUGCGGUGCUGUGCCGUGAGCUCACAAGGCCUGGCUGCGACGCUGUCCUGUGCCUCAGGCUUUGCUCUGUGCGACGCUCACUGUGGCUGCAGCGGUGGUGUUGGAAGCAUGGUGCGAGUGUGGGGGGCCAUGGCCCCUGCCCGCUUUGUCCUCUUCCUCCUACUGAUGGCCAUGUGUUUCCGGGAGACCUGUGCUGCUCCGUGGCGAGCACCGGGAGCAGGUGGGUGGGCAGAGAUGGGACACGGACUGAGCAGCAGUGGGGGCAAGAAGUCAGGCUGUGUCCCCACGGCCCUGUGCCACACUUCCCUGGGGCCGGCCUUCCAUGGGGGGUGGUGUUGGGCAGGGGGCGAUGGGCAGCACCGCAGGAGCCGGGCAAGAGCCCGUGGCAGCGCUGCUCCCCAGGGCUGGCUCCAGCCAUGCCGGGCCAUGGCUCUGCUGCUUGCUGGCUGGAGCACAGCCUUCAUCGUGGGAGAUGUCCUGGGGAGAGCUUGGCAGAUGUGUGCUGGGAGAAGCGUGAGCAUUUCUGCUCCAGGCUCAUGGUACUCCCUGUAGAUGAAUCCCAGUUUCCAACACAGAGCCACGGCCCACAGCCCAGAGGAAGAGACAGGACGUGCUUUCCUCCAGUGCUUCAGUGUGACCUUCCUGCGCAUUGGAGGCCUCCCAGUAAGAAAGCCCCCAGGAGCUGCAUCUUCUUCCAUGCGGUCCGUGAGGGAUGUGGCACAUGGCCUGGAGAGAGUAUUGUGUACGCUGCCAGGUGCCAGCCUACAGGUCAUCCUGGCCACUCUGCAACUUUGGGAAUCGUGACCUGAGUCCUUCUCCCAUCCCGUUCCACGGCCCAGCAACAUCCAGUUACUGAGGGAGAAGGAGAUCACACCAUCCAAUGGGACCUUCUUUCAUGCGUUCUUGAUUCCAGGAGAUGAACUUGGUGCUCCCUUUCCGGAUGAUCGUUUGGAUCCGGAUUUUGUGCCUGUGCCUCUGGGACAACCCAGAGGCCCUGCUGGUGAAUCAGCAGAACAGAAUCCUGC